rnacentral:misc_RNA from 1 species
UUUCCGUAGGUGAACCUGCGGAAGGAUCAUUACUGAGUGAGGGCCCUCUGGGUCCAACCUCCCACCCGUGUUUAUUAUACCUUGUUGCUUCGGUGAGCCCGCCUCACGGCCGCCGGGGGGCAUCUGCCCCCGGGCCCGCGCCCACCGAAGACACCUAGAACUCUGUAUGAAGAUUGCAGUCUGAGCAAAAACUAAAUAAGUCAAAACUUUCAACAACGGAUCUCUUGGUUCCG